AGGAUGAGUUGCACAUUCCUCCUUUUGGACCCAUUUUUGUCGUUAGGAGUGGUUAGGAAUACAACAACCUAAGUGGUUAGGAAUACAACAACCUAUGGAUGAGUCCACAGUAGUCUACCUACUACUGUACUAGACAGGAUCAGCCUCAAGAAAACGCCAACAGCGUACAUGAUUGCCAUUCACAGAAAUAGUUGGGGAGGGGGAUACAGAAGAACGUCUGCACACAACUAUCUCGUUUCAGUGUCCAACAAAAUGUCAUCAGUACAUGAUUCAUGCCUGCUGGUCACAAGAUUCUUCUCCAUAAGUUCAUGUACCCUUCAAGAACAUUUUGGUGAAACAUAUUCCUCCCAAAGGAGUAGGUGAAUUAUAUGGCGCUCAUGAACUACGCUUGGCCUUUGCAAGUUCCUCAACCUCAGACACAUCUUAUUUUGGAUGGCCAACAGAAAACUACGGAAUACAACCAACUAGGCUUUUGAUAGGUUGGUCCCAUCAGUCAACCCAAAAGACUGCACCGGAUAGCAUCUCACAUGAGACUGCUUAUGAUUCAUGCUAAAUGGGGAGAGAUUGCCUCUAGCAAUGUGAUUCAGUGGACUAAAGAAAUGUAAAACUAUGUUUGGUCGGUUGACCGUUAGACCCAAAACAGUGGCAUCUCAU
rnacentral:lncRNA from 1 species